GUUAAAUUAUGAGAAGAACACGCAAAGUCUUUACACUUUUGGCAGCUCCUCCGACGUGAUCAAGCCGCAAAAGUAUUUUACGUUACUUUUUUUUCUUCUUUCUGAAAUCUUACUUUAAAAGAAAAUUUGUUAACGAAAUAAAAGUAAUGUGGAUAAAAGUAAUAUAUCACAAAGACGGUUUAAUUAGACUGUUAGUGAAAUUAUUUUACUAAUGAAUAUUAAUCCUGAAAAUGUUCUUGUAUCUGAUCCACAUCAUAUCACAUGAAAGAAAGAUAGAGUUGAAUUCCUCAUACCUAAGGGCUAAGGUGGUAGCAGCCAAAUGGCUUAAGCCACUUGCUUUAUAUAGGUUCUUAUAACAAUAUUGGGGAUUCAAAUUGGUAACUUAAGAAAACGCCGAAUGUUAAUAAUGGUCACUGCUCACGUUGGCUAUGCUGCCUAUGCACAAGAUC
rnacentral:lncRNA from 1 species